rfam:Prevotella marshii DSM 16973 genomic scaffold SCAFFOLD1, whole genome shotgun sequence.
GCAGUGUUUCGGCUUGUCGCCGGCAUCAUGACGGUGCGGGAGGAAAGUCCGGGCAGCAUAGGGUACUCCACUUCCUAAUAUAGAAGCUAUUGGCGACAGUAGGCUCAGGCAGAAGAGAACGACCGCUCCGCAAGGAGUAAGGGUGAGAAGGCGGUGUAAGAGACCACCGGCUGAUGGGUGAUCAUCAGGCCGUGCCGGCUGGAGGCUGCAAGUUCGCGUAAACCAUCGUUUGAGGGCGACCCGUCCGAACUUCCCGAUGGAGGGUAGAAUGCUGGAGCUGCGGGGUGACUCGCAGCGUAGAGAAAUGACAAGCCGUGAGGCAUUGGAAACGGUGUCUCAUGACAGAACCCGGCUUACAGAGGCACUGCUUUC